rnacentral:lncRNA from 1 species
AGUCCCCAAAGAAAGCUGACAGCUGAGGGCUGUCUACUGGCAGCACUUCCCACAGCUGAAGGAAGAAGUCACUAAUGACCAAAGGAAAAUCUGGAGGCGCAUCACAGGGCUCACAACAUCUUCAUCACAACUUUAUGAGGAUAACACUUUUAUUUUUCCUAUUUUGCAGAUGAGAAAACUGAGGCACAGAGAGGUGAAAUAAGGUAGGCAAGCUCAUACAUUUCUUAAAUGGUUGCGCUAGGAUACAAACCCAGACAAUCUGGCGCCAGCAUUGUGCUUCUAACCACUGGCUCGUGCACUCUCCAAGGGAACUGCCUUUUGAUCUAAUUAUAUGCUGUCAUUAAAAUAAUCUUUUAAAGCAGGAGUUAGCAAACUGUUUGUAAAGAGCCAGAUAGUAAAUAUUUCCAGCUCCUCAGGCUGUGCUGCCUUUGUCACAACUAUUCGAUUUUGCUCUUGUAGUGCAAAGGCAGCCAUAGAUAGUACAUAAACAAAUAGCCAUGGCUCUGUGCCAACAAAACUUUAUUUACAGAAACAGGUGGCAGGCUGGAUUAGCUUGUUGACCCGUUUUAGGAAAUUAUUUAAAGAUUGAGAAAGCACUACGGUUUACUGUUACAGGAAUGAAAUAUUACUGGAUGAAAUAAUUAUACUGAUCCUAGCCUUAUUUUAAAAGGGCCCCCAGAAUGCUCUUCUCCAAGACUUAGAAAAAUCAAAUGCUAUCCAUCCCUCAAGAUACAUCCCUCCAGCCCCUCCUUGAAGUCUCCUGCAGCUAGAAGUAGAAGUAGCAUCUAUCCCCAUCUGGACUCCUUAGCACUUUGCUGUACCUGCCUUAGUCCCCAUCUCUUUACACACACACACACACACACACACACACACACAGAGUAUUAUAAUACUAUUACCUAUUAUAUUACAUUAUAUUAUUGUAGUUCUACAGGAACUACAAGGAAUUCUACUGUGAAUUCCUUAAGGGUGGGAUACAUUUUACAAUCAUCACUGUUUCUCUCAUUAGUUGUGGAAUCAAAAAAAUGAGUGCACGAUGAAAAAUUAUUCAAACACAUACAUGCUUUCAUUCCAAUUGAAAAUGUAAAAAUAUUACUGUUAAAACAAUAUUAAAGGACAUGUAAUACAAUUCA